CGCGUUGUUUCUGUCUAAGAUCUGAUGAUGUUAUUUCUUCCUACAUCUCUUUGUACAACAUUGGGUUAAGUGUGCUCAGCAGCAAAGGGCACCACGUCAUCUAGAAAGAUGCAUUCCGACAGGUGGAAACCUAAUAGCACAGGAGGAUUUUUCCUACCCCAGUGCCCUUCAUCUUGGGAGGAUGACAUCACCAGAUACUGUUAACAAAGACACUGGUGUCCCUAACUUAGCUGCUUCAGCUGCCCGAGACUUGGCUGACUGACUCCAGGGACAGACAACUCCGAAGUCCUGUAUGUUCUUCCUGCCACAUGCCCCUAAGGCCGUGGGUUGCAUUUUGUGAUCUUUCUUUCCCCUAAAAGGUAGCUGUACACUGUCUUCCUUUAAACCACAGUUAAAAAAAUUGUGACAUGUGGGAGGAAGUGUGUUCAGUGACAGGCCUUACCCCUCCCCCAGUUCCUGAUCCCAGGGACCACAGAUCCGGCUUCAGUUCUCACUGAGGAAUUAAGGCCUCCAAAGAAAUUCUAAUUUGCAGUGCCUUUGGCUUGGCUCUUGACUUAAGAAUCCCUAUCUUUGGGACAGGCUUACCUGUUAGGUCCUUUCCCCAUUACACUAUUGGAGUGGCUCUUAUGAGCUCUAAAUUAUGGCCACCAAGUCUGAGAUUAAGUCAAUUUCCCAGAGACUGGAAUGGCAUACAGUAAAGUUUUACUAUUGGCUUCAGAACUGGCUCUUUUUACAUGUAUCUCAGUGACCGUCAAGGGAGAGAGGGUGAGCGUGUGUGUAUGCGUGAGUAUGUCUAAGGGGGAGGUUGACAUUAUAUUCAAUAUAAUACUUUUUGUGUGGUUAAAAAACAAACCUUUUGAUUUCCUUUCGCAAACCCUAGAAAGUAAAAUUUGACCAAAAUCUUCCUGGCCAUUAGGGAUACGCAAAGGUCUCUUCCUUAAUGUGGAGGACAUUCAGAAUGUGGACAGUGAGAUGUUUAUGGUCUAAUUAUUUAUCAGACAGACCAGAGGCUAUAGGCUCAGUCUCCACUGGUCACAGGUUGCUGCUUUAACUCAGUCAUGCUUUGUGUUUCACAUAGUCUUGCAAUGGAAUUAUUCUCAAUGCUGGGUCAUCUGGAACUCAAUAUUUCUCACCAAUAGCCACCACUUUUCUGCUAUAUUGAACAACACAGUCUAUGGCCUGAAUGGCUGUGCUCCCUACCAAAUGUAUAUGUUGAAAUCCUAACCUUCAAAGGCAAAGUUAGUAGGUGGGGCCUUGGGAGGUGAUUAGUUUGUGGGGAUGGGGCCCUUCUGAAUAGGACUAUUGCUCUUAGAAAAGCACAAAGGGGAGUUCCUGCUGUGGUGCAACAGGACCAGUGGCAUCUCUGCAGCACCAGGAUGCAGGCUUGAUGCCUGGCCCGGCACAGCGAGUUAAAGGAUCUGGCACUGCCACAGCUGCAGGGUAGGUCACAAUUUCGGCUUAGAUCUGACUGCUGGCCUGGGAACUCCAUAUGCUGUGUGGCAGCAAAAAAUGAAAAAAAGGAGUUCCCAUGGUGGCUCAGCAGUAACAAACCUGACUAGUAUGCAUGAGGACACAGGUUUGAUCUCUGGCCUUGCUCAAUGGGUUAAGGAUCUGGCAUUGCCAUGAGCUGUGGUGUAUGUCGCAGACGUGGCUUGGAUAUGGCGUUUCUGUGGUUGUGGUAUAGGCCGACGGCUACAGCUCUGAUUCAACCACUAGCCUCGGAAACUCCACAUACUGCAGAUGUGGCCUAAAACACACACACACACACACACACACACACAAAGACAGUGAAGGAAAUACUGUCCUGCACAUUUUUUUUUUUUUUUUUUGGCUGUGCCUGUGGCAUGUGGAAGUUCCCGGGCCAAGGACUGAACCUGUUCCACAGCAGUGAUAAUGCUGGAUCUUAACCUGCUAUGCCACAGGAAACUCCCAGUCCUGUACACUCUAGAUGCUAUAAGAACAGCAAAGGAAGAACUGGUUGUCAGAGGAGCAACUAUGAGCAUUCAGCACAGUCUUUGCAGUAGGGCUGUUCACAAGGAAAACAUGAGAUGCUGGAGUUCUGCUCCUUUUAACUCCACCCUCUCCCCCCAGCCCCCACCAAGGUGUCCAAAGGUGAGCAGCAUGAAGAGGGGCAUACAAAUGCACAGGUAAUCCGUCUGCGUUUUCCACAGCUCGCAGUAGUAAAGAUCUAUGACGAAAUUAUCUCACUCUCACAGGAACCCAAGCGCAGUCGCCCCUCUGC
rnacentral:lncRNA from 1 species